rfam:Oryza brachyantha chromosome 4, whole genome shotgun sequence.
AGAGCUAGGUGUAGCCAAGGACAGACUUGCCGGCUAACUCCAAGGUUCAGCAAAGCUGAGAUUCUCCCAAUACCAGGAGCCGGCAAGUCAUCCUUGGCUGCAUCCCGUUCUCC